rnacentral:lncRNA from 1 species
GUCCAACCCACCGCGCCACCGCGCCACCGCGCCUCCCUAGAAAAAUCACAUGCUUAGGAAAUUAAGAUAGCUUAUAUUAGCAUGAUUAAAAGACUCCGCCUUUGCCCUUUGCGCUCUUUCACUUCAGCGAUGAAGCCCAGAAAACUGCUGCUCAGGUUGGAGCGAAUUCAGCAGAAGUAGCGGUCGCGUUAAUGCGGACACGCGGCCAAAAAUAAAGUCACUAGACAAACGUUGCCAUGGAAACCCGGAGCUCCUCCACUCAUGUGCGGGACUGUCGAAGCGCCCACGGGAUAGCAUGUCACCGCACGGCACGGGGCUGCGCGCCCUGCUCCUCCUCGGCUUCCACGUGCUUUUGUCCGCGCGCAGUGUUGCAGCCUCAUGUGAUGUUACGAAGAAUGAAGAAUUUAGUCAGUGUUUCGGAGCUCUGGGACAACCUGUGUUCAUAGACCUCAUUAAUGACACCACCGGUUAUGAGAUCAGCUUAAAAAAUUCUCAGAAUGAACGGAUUUUCAAUUUUAAGUACGGAAGUACCACAUAUUAUGCGUGUUGUUUAGUGUUUUUUAACAAUGGCACCUUGAGGAUGGACAAAGGUAAGAAAAAUUACUCCAGCAAAUACAACUUGGAGAUACAUGAUUUAGAUGGAACAUUCUUACAAAGCAGGAAGAUUCAGCUCGCCAUUGAAAAACCUGUGUCCUCACCAGUGUUGUCCACACUAUGUUUAUCCCAUGGAAAGCUGAAGGUGUCCUGCUCCACUGAGGGGGACAAUCCCCAGUACACCUGGAGUCUGGGGGACGGGCCCCUUGAGGGGUACGAUGGGAAAGGUGCUGUUGUACUGGGGAUGGAUGUGAGUGGAGAUGUGACCUGUACUGUGUGGAAUAAUGUCAGCAGAGAAAGCAGCACCUUGAGACUCCCCACCUGUACAGAAACUGGAGCCUCUAUGAAUUGCACCUUAGUUAAUGGUGUAAUGACAAACAGCACGAAAGGUAUGUGCCUUCUGCAUACAGAAUCAGUUAAAAGUAUUCAUACUGUAAUAUUGUUCUCCAGUGUUUAUAAUAAUUUGUAAUUCUGUUUGUCUUCUAGAUUCCUGUGGAUUAGUUUCGGUUGCAGUGGGAGCAACCUUUGCCCUGUCAGUCUUGUUAAUAAUAAUGUACUACCACUAUAAGAAAAAAGCACAAUCAUAAGUGAUAAUGUCAUGCUGAUAAGUGCACAUAAAUUGUUCAAUACUCCUUGUUCUCAUCUCAGUGUUUCCAGUUCUAUAGAGAAUAUCGCCUUUGCUGUACAAACUCCUGGUUUUCUUUGGUAAUUUUCAACAUGAGCCGCACUCUUUGACUGUUUGAACGAGUUUUGGAAUUUUGUGUAACGGUGCCUUUUGAAAUUUUGUUCACAUAGUGCUUGUUAUGUGGUGUCAUUAUACCGUAAGUUCUUUUUCACUAUUGUUGCGAAGAAGUGUUUACGUUCUUGGAGACCCUUAUACAGAAUGUGUUAUGUAUCAUGUCAAAUAAAGGCUUUAAUAAAAGAUACA